rnacentral:misc_RNA from 1 species
UCCGGUUUGUCACCGGCAGUCUCCUUAGAGUUCCCACCAUUACGUGCUGGCAACUAAGGACAAGGGUUGCGCUCGUUGCGGGACUUAACCCAACAUCUCACGACACGAGCUGACGACAGCCAUGCAGCACCUGUGUUCGCAUUCCCGAAGGCACUCCCGCAUCUCUGCAGGAUUCGCGACAUGUCAAGGCCAGGUAAGGUGGGGAUGACGUCCGUCAGUCAA